rnacentral:rRNA from 1 species
AGAGGGUGCAAGCGUUAAUCGGAAUUACUGGGCGUAAAGGGCGCGUAGGUUGUAAGUUUAGUCAGAUGUGAAAUUUCCGGGCUUAACCUGGAAAGGUCAUCUGAUACUGACUAACUAGAGUACAGUAGAGGGAAGGGGAAUUUCCGGUGUAGCGGUGAAAUGCGUAGAUAUCGGAAGGAACAUCAGUGGCGAAGGCGCCUUCCUGGACUGAUACUGACACUGAGGCGCGAAAGCGUGGGGAGCGAACAGGGAUUAGAUACCCUGGUAGUCCACGCCGUAAACGAUGAGAACUAGCUGUUGGAUGCGAUAAGCAUUUAGUAGCGUAGCUAACGCGCUAAGUUCUCCGCCUGGGAGUACGGCCGCAAGGCUA